AUAGUUUGAUUCUGGCUCAGAACGAACGCUGGCGGCAGGCCUAACACAUGCAAGUCGAACGAAGCCUUCGGGCUUAGUGGCGGACGGGUUAGUAACGCGUGGGAACGUGCCUUUCACUACGGAACAGUCCUGGGAAACUGGGUUUAAUACCGUGUACGCCCCUCGGGGGAAAGAAUUUCGGUGAAAGAUCGGCCCGCGUUAGAUUAGAUAGUUGGUGGGGUAAUGGCCUACCAAGUCUACGAUCUAUAGCUGGUUUUAGAGGAUGAUCAGCAACACUGGGACUGAGACACGGCCCAGACUCCUACGGGAGGCAGCAGUGGGGAAUCUUGGACAAUGGGCGCAAGCCUGAUCCAGCCAUGCCGCGUGAGUGAUGAAGGCCUUAGGGUCGUAAAGCUCUUUCAACGGUGAAGAUAAUGACGGUAGCCGUAGAAGAAACCCCGGCUAACUCCGUGCCAGCAGCCGCGGUAAUACGGAGGGGGUUAGCGUUGUUCGGAAUUACUGGGCGUAAAGCGCGCGUAGGCGGAUUGGAAAGUUGGGGGUGAAAUCCCAGGGCUCAACCCUGGAACUGCCUCCAAAACUAUCAGUCUAGAGUUCGAGAGAGGUGAGUGGAACUCCGAGUGUAGAGGUGAAAUUCGUAGAUAUUCGGAAGAACACCAGUGGCGAAGGCGGCUCACUGGCUCGAUACUGACGCUGAGGUGCGAAAGUGUGGGGAGCAAACAGGAUUAGAUACCCUGGUAGUCCACACCGUAAACGAUGAAUGCCAGUCGUCGGGUAGCAUGCUAUUCGGUGACACACCUAACGGAUUAAGCAUUCCGCCU
rnacentral:rRNA from 1 species